AACGAACGCUGGCGGCAUGCCUAACACAUGCAAGUCGAACGAGACCUUCGGGUCUAGUGGCGCACGGGUGCGUAACGCGUGGGAACCUGCCCUUAGGUUCGGAAUAACUCCCCGAAAGGGGUGCUAAUACCGGAUAAUGUCUUCGGACCAAAGAUUUAUCGCCCUUGGAUGGGCCCGCGUUGGAUUAGCUAGUUGGUAGGGUAAAAGCGUACCAAGGCGACGAUCCAUAGCUGGUCUGAGAGGAUGAUCAGCCACACUGGGACUGAGACACGGCCCAGACUCCUACGGGAGGCAGCAGUGGGGAAUAUUGGACAAUGGGCGAAAGCCUGAUCCAGCAAUGCCGCGUGAGUGAUGAAGGCCUUAGGGUUGUAAAGCUCUUUUAACCGGGAUGAUAAUGACAGUACCGGGAGAAUAAGCUCCGGCUAACUCCGUG
rnacentral:rRNA from 1 species